rnacentral:rRNA from 1 species
UACGAAGGGGGCUAGCGUUGUUCGGAAUCACUGGGCGUAAAGGGCGCGUAGGCGGCUUUGUAAGUCGGGGGUGAAAGCCUGUGGCUCAACCACAGAAUUGCCUUCGAUACUGCAUGGCUUGAGACCGGAAGAGGUAAGUGGAACUGCGAGCGUAGAGGUGAAAUUCGUAGAUAUUCGCAAGAACACCAGUGGCGAAGGCGGCUUACUGGUCCGGUUCUGACGCUGAGGCGCGAAAGCGUGGGGAGCAAACAGG